rnacentral:ncRNA from 2 species
UACUUGACUACUGUCAUCAUGCCUAUUGC